UACCAGCUCUCCGAGUGGUAGGGAUGUUUAUUGGGCUUAAAGCGUCCGUAGCCGGCUUAGCAAGUCUCCUGUUAAAUUCAGCGACCUAAUCGUUGAGCCGCGGGAGAUACUACUAGGCUAGGAGGCGGGAGAGGUCAACGGUACUUCCGGGGUAGGGGUGAAAUCCUAUAAUCCCGGGAGGACCACCAGUGGCGAAGGCUUUUGACUAGAACGCGCUCGACGGUGAGGGACGAAAGCUGGGGGAGCGAACCGGAUUAGAUACCCGGGUAGUCCCAGCUGUAAACGAUGCGAGCUAGGUGUUGGGGUGGCUACGUGCCACUUCAGUGCCGCAGGGAAGCCAUUAAGCUCGCCGCCUGGGGAGUACGGCCGCAAGGCUGAAACUUAAAGGAAUUGGCGGGGGAGCACCACAAGGCGUGAAGCUUGCGGUUC
rnacentral:rRNA from 1 species